CGGGGUAUAGCGCAGUCUGGUAGCGCGCCUGCUUUGGGAGCAGGAUGUCGGGGGUUCAAAUCCCUCUACCCCGAUAU
rnacentral:tRNA from 2 species